rnacentral:rRNA from 1 species
UACAUGGGGUGCAAACGUUGCUCGGAAUUAUUGGGCGUAAAGCGCACGUAGGCGGUUUGUUAAGUCGGAUGUGAAAUCCCUCGGCUCAACUGAGGAAGUGCACCCGAAACUGGCAGGCUUGAGUACUAAAGAGGGUCGCGGAAUUCCCGGUGUAGAGGUGAAAUUCGUAGAUAUCGGGAGGAACACCGGUGGCGAAGGCAGCGACCUGGGUAGAUACUGACGCUGAGGUGCGAAAGCGUGGGGAGCAAACAGG